rnacentral:rRNA from 1 species
UACGUAGGGGGGGGCAAGCGUUGUCCGGAUUUAUUGGGCGUAAAGGGUUGCGUAGGCGGCCGUGCAAGUCUGGCGUGAAAGCCCGGGCUCAGCCCGGGAAGUGCGCUCGAAACUGCGCGGCUCGAGUGCCGGAGGGAGAGUGGAAUUCCUGGUGUAGCGGUGAAAUGCGUAGAUAUCAGGAAGAACACCAAUGGCGAAAGCAGCUCUCUGGGACGGUACUGACGGCUGAGGAGCGAAAGCUUGGGGGAGCGAACAGG